CAGGACGAACGCUGGCGGCGUGCCUAAUACAUGCAAGUCGAACGGUCUUUUCUAUGGAAGCUUGCUUCCACUGAGAAGAUAGUGGCGAACGGGUGAGUAACGACGUGGGUAACCUGCCCAUAAGAGGGGGAUAACAUCCGGAAACGGGUGCUAAUACCGCAUAGUUUUCUUGAUCGCAUGAUCGGGAAAGGAAAGACGGCCUUUGUGCUGUCGCUUAUGGAUGGACCCGCGGCGUAUUAGUUAGUUGGUGAGGUAACGGCUCACCAAGACGAUGAUACGUAGCCGACCUGAGAGGGUGAUCGGCCACAUUGGGACUGAGACACGGCCCAAACUCCUACGGGAGGCAGCAGUAGGGAAUCUUCCGCAAUGGACGAAAGUCUGACGGAGCAACGCCGCGUGAGUGAAAGAAGGUUUUCGGAUCGUAAAACUCUGUUGUCAGAGAAGAACAAGUUGGAGAGUAACUGCUCCAGCCUUGACGGUAUCUGACCAGAAAGCCACGGCUAACUACGUGCCAGCCGCCGC
rnacentral:rRNA from 1 species